UGGGGAAUUUUGGACAAUGGGGGAAACCCUGAUCCAGCCAUCCCGCGUGUGCGAUGAAGGCCUUCGGGUUGUAAAGCACUUUUGGCAGGAAAGAAACGUCGCGGGUUAAUACCCCGCGAAACUGACGGUACCUGCAGAAUAAGCACCGGCUAACUACGUGCCAGCAGCCGCGGUAAUACGUAGGGUGCAAGCGUUAAUCGGAAUUACUGGGCGUAAAGCGUGCGCAGGCGGUUCGGAAAGAAAGAUGUGAAAUCCCAGAGCUUAACUUUGGAACUGCAUUUUUAACUACCGGGCUAGAGUGUGUCAGAGGGAGGUGGAAUUCCGCGUGUAGCAGUGAAAUGCGUAGAUAUGCGGAGGAACACCGAUGGCGAAGGCAGCCUCCUGGGAUAACACUGACGCUCAUGCACGAAAAGCGUGGGGAGCAAAACAGGAUUAGAUACCCUGGUAGUCCACGCCCUAAACGAUGUCAACUAGCUGUUGGGGCCUUCGGGCCUUGGUAGCGCAGCUAACGCGUGAAGUUGACCGCCUGGGGAGUACGGUCGCAAGAUUAAAAACUCAAAAUGAAUUGACGGGGGUCAUAGCUGUUUUUCCU
rnacentral:rRNA from 1 species